rnacentral:rRNA from 1 species
UACGGGGGGGGCGAGCGUUAUUCGGAAUUACUGGGCGUAAAGCGCACGUAGGCGGCGACGUAAGUCUUGUGUGAAAUCCAACGGCUCAACCGUUGAACGGCAUUUGAAACUGCGUUGCUUGAGUCCGGGAGAGGAUGGUGGAAUUCCCAGUGUAGCGGUGAAAUGCGUAGAUAUUGGGAGGAGCCCCGGUGGCGAAGGCGGCCAUCUGGACCGGAACUGACGCUGAGGUGGGAAAGCUAGGGUAGCAAACGGG